rnacentral:rRNA from 1 species
UUUGAUCCUGGCUCAGAUUGAACGCUGGCGGCAUGCCUUACACAUGCAAGUCGAACGGCAGCACGGGAGCAAUCCUGGUGGCGAGUGGCGAACGGGUGAGUAAUACAUCGGAACGUGCCCAAUCGUGGGGGAUAACGCAGCGAAAGCUGUGCUAAUACCGCAUAAGAUCUACGGAUGAAAGCAGGGGAUCGCAAGACCUUGCGCGAAUGGAGCGGCCGAUGGCAGAUUAGGUAGUUGGUGAGGUAAAGGCUCACCAAGCCUUCGAUCUGUAGCUGGUCUGAGAGGACGACCAGCCACACUGGGACUGAGACACGGCCCAGACUCCUACGGGAGGCAGCAGUGGGGAAUUUUGGACAAUGGGCGCAAGCCUGAUCCAGCCAUGCCGCGUGCAGGAUGAAGGCCUUCGGGUUGUAAACUGCUUUUGUACGGAACGAAACGGCUCUUUCUAAUAAAGAGGGCUAAUGACGGUACCGUAAGAAUAAGCACCGGCUAACUACGUGCCAGCAGCCGCGGUAAUACGUAGGGUGCAAGCGUUAAUCGGAAUUACUGGGCGUAAAGCGUGCGCAGGCGGUGAUGUAAGACAGUUGUGAAAUCCCCGGGCUCAACCUGGGAACUGCAUCUGUGACUGCAUCGCUGGAGUGCGGCAGAGGGGGAUGGAAUUCCGCGUGUAGCAGUGAAAUGCGUAGAUAUGCGGAGGAACACCGAUGGCGAAGGCAAUCCCCUGGGCCUGCACUGACGCUCAUGCACGAAAGCGUGGGGAGCAAACAGGAUUAGAUACCCUGGUAGUCCACGCCCUAAACGAUGUCAACUGGUUGUUGGGUCUUCACUGACUCAGUAACGAAGCUAACGCGUGAAGUUGACCGCCUGGGGAGUACGGCCGCAAGGUUGAGGCUCAAAGGAAUUGACGGGGACCCGCACAAGCGGUGGAUGAUGUGGUUUAAUUCGAUGCAACGCGAAAAACCUUACCCACCUUUGACAUGUACGGAAUUUGCCAGAGAUGGCUUAGUGCUCGAAAGAGAACCGUAACACAGGUGCUGCAUGGCUGUCGUCAGCUCGUGUCGUGAGAUGUUGGGUUAAGUCCCGCAACGAGCGCAACCCUUGUCAUUAGUUGCUACAUUUAGUUGGGCACUCUAGUGAGACUGCCGGUGACAAACCGGAGGAAGGUGGGGAUGACGUCAAGUCCUCAUGGCCCUUAUAGGUGGGGCUACACACGUCAUACAAUGGCUGGUACAAAGGGUUGCCAACCCGCGAGGGGGAGCUAAUCCCAUAAAACCAGUCGUAGUCCGGAUCGCAGUCUGCAGCUCGACUGCGUGAAGUCGGAAUCGCUAGUAAUCGUGGAUCAGAAUGUCACGGUGAAUACGUUCCCGGGUCUUGUACACACCGCCCGUCACACCAUGGGAGCGGGUUCUGCCAGAAGUAGUUAGCCUAACCGCAAGGAGGGCGAUUACCACGGCAGGGUUCGUGACUGGGGUGCAGUCGUAACAAGGUA